CCGAGUGAGGGCCUUCGGGCUCGACCUCCAACCCUUUGUGAGCACAUCUUGUUGCUUCGGGGGCGACCCUGCCGUUCCGACGGCGAGCGCCCCCGGAGGCCUUCAAACACUGCAUCUUUGCGUCGGAGUUUAAGUAAAUUUAAACA
rnacentral:misc_RNA from 1 species